UAACGGAUCUUCCGCAAUGCGCGAAAGCGUGACGGAGCAAUGCCGCGUGUAGGAUGAAGCCCCUCGGGGUGUAAACUACUGUCAGGACUCAGGAAUUCUGACCAAGUCCAAAGGAAGGGCCGGCUAACUUCGUGCCAGCAGCCGCGGUAAUACGAAGGGCCCGAGCGUUGUGCGGAUUCACUGGGCUUAAAGGGUGCGUAGGCGGACGUGUAAGUGUGUUGUGAAAGCCCACGGCUCAACCGUGGAACUGCAGCGCAUACUGCACGUCUUGAGGUCGGUAGGGGCUGUCGGAACUCUAGGUGUAGCGGUGAAAUGCGUAGAUAUCUAGAGGAACACCAAUGGCGAAGGCAGACAGCUGGGCCGAUUCUGACGCUGAGGCACGAAAGCGUGGGGAGCAAACAGGAUUAGAUACCCCCGUAGUCC
rnacentral:rRNA from 1 species